rnacentral:rRNA from 1 species
AUGGGCAACCGGCGAACGGGUGCGUAACACGUGAGCAACCUACCGAACUGUGGGGGAUAGCCGGCCUAACGGCCGAGUAAUACCGCAUACGCUCUCAGAGAGGCAUUUCUUUGAGAGGAAACCUACGGGACAGAUCGAGGGGCUCGCGGCCUAUCAGCUAGUUGGCGAGGUAACGGCUCACCAAGGCAACGACGGGUAGCUGGUCUGAGAGGAUGGCCAGCCACAUUGGGACUGAGAUACGGCCCAGACUCCUACGGGAGGCAGCAGUGGGGAAUCUUGCGCAAUGGCCUAACGGCUGACGCAGCGACGCCGCGUGUGGGACGAAGCUCUUCGGAGUGUAAACCACUGUUGCCCGGGACGAACAGCUCGAUUAAUCGAGCCUGACGGUACCGGGUGAGGAAGCACCGGCUAACUCCGUGCCAGCAGCCGCGGUAAUACGGGGGGUGCGAGCGUUGUCCGGAAUCACUGGGCGUAAAGGGCGCGUAGGUGGUUUGAUAAGGGUGUGGUGAAAGUCCGGGGCUCAACCCCGGAUCUGCCGUGCCGACUGUCAAACUCGAGGACUGUAGAGGCAGACGGAAUUCCGGGUGUAGCGGUGGAAUGCGUAGAGAUCCGGAGGAAGACCGGUGGCGAAGGCGGUCUGCUGGGCAGUUUCUGACACUGAGGCGCGACAGCGUGGGGAGCAAACAGGAUUAGAUACCCUGGUAGUCCACGCCGUA